AAAGAUUAAGCCAUGCAUGUCUAAGUAUAAGCAAUUUAUACAGUGAAACUGCGAAUGGCUCAUUAAAUCAGUUAUCGUUUAUUUGAUAGUACCUUACUACUUGGAUAACCGUGGUAAUUCUAGAGCUAAUACAUGCUUAAAAUCCCGACUGUUUGGAAGGGAUGUAUUUAUUAGAUAAAAAAUCAAUGUCUUCGGACUCUUUGAUGAUUCAUAAUAACUUUUCGAAUCGCAUGGCCUUGUGCUGGCGAUGGUUCAUUCAAAUUUCUGCCCUAUCAACUUUCGAUGGUAGGAUAGUGGCCUACCAUGGUUC
rnacentral:rRNA from 1 species